rnacentral:lncRNA from 1 species
GACUUUUAUAUAUAUAUAUAUAUAUAUGUAUAUAUAUAUAUAUACACAUAUAUGUAUAUAUAUAUAUACACAUACUUUUGUUUAGAUCAGCACUCAUAUUCUGAAGAAAGUAUCCCACUUUCAUUACUAUCCUGGUUCUGGAAGAAGAAGAGGAAUUUUGCAUCUCCUGCUGCUAAAAGUCAAAGCAGAACAGAUGCAUGGGUACGAACAGUUACCCCUUCAUGCUCUUGUGUUCCUGAUGAUCCAGUAAGAAGUGAACCUCAACCUAAACCACAGAGCACCAUUCACUCAUCUGUUCCUCUCCCGGGCAGUGUUAUGGAUUUUUCAGGGGAGAUACAAGAACAUCCUUCAUGUGUGAUUAAAAGUGUAAUGCUUGAAGAGACACCUGAGCAGGAUGAGGAGGGAAAAUUUUGGCUGCACAAAGUUAGAAUGAGUAUAAACAAGUGGUCACUACUGAAUUCCCUGAUUGGAUGGAGUGAAAACAGACCUCUAGAAAAAGAUUGUAAAAGACAUGCAGGAAAUGAAAAGCAAACACCUGAAGAUAAUCAGACAACUGGAAAAUACAAAGAAGGAAAACCAAAGCAAGGUAAUUAUUCUGGAGCAUUUCAAUUGUUGUGUCACAUCAUUAGUCAAAGUGACACAGGAGGAUUAAAUCUACUUCAUUCACAUUUGAAUAUUCAUUCAGCAACCCAUUGCAUCAUUUCUCCAGAAAUAAUAUCAAUCUGUCAAUGUAGUUUAUUUUACAGCUUUGUGAAAUAUGGUCUUAUUUUCACCUAUGUCUACUUUAUUCUAUUAGUGUAUUUAUUGUACCCUUUCCCAUUCUUAAUAUUUAGACUGGCACAUUUGCAGAGAUUUUCCAAACUUUAUUGUUACUGAAGUUUCCAGUUAAAUGUCACCUUCAUCUGUACCAUCAACCUGUAAUGCCUGUCUUCAUUGCUAAAGUGAAAAGUUUUUCAUCCUUCUUCUCUGUGGAUAUAUUGUCUUUUAUUUUGCACUUUUCUUCCUUUCUUUUUCCAUUUGGAAUGAAUAGGUCCACUCUUUGGUUAGCUUGGUGUAUGACAAUUUUCCUGAAGUUAACUAAGCUAAUGAGCCCAGUAAAGAUAAAUUGAAUGGCAAAAUAAAUAAAUAAAUAAAACAUUAAAAAAGGAAAGA